AGAAGCCGUGCCUGAAGUAAAGGGCCACUUUGAUAGAGUGACUUAUGGGGGUUCAAAUCCCCCCCGCUUCUU
rnacentral:tRNA from 35 species